CUCCUACGGGAGGCAGCAGUGAGGAAUAUUAGACAACGGAGGUAACUCUGAUCCAGCCAUGCCGCGCGCAGGAAGACGGUCCUACGGAUUGUAAAAUGCUUUUAUACAGGAAGAAAC
rnacentral:rRNA from 1 species